UUGGUUGUAAAGUCAAAAUUUUCUGUGUCUUGGACCACCAUUUUAGAUAUUUUAGUCUCUUACGAGUGCUUGCUAUUUCCACCACACAAACAGGCAGAAUCAUUCAUUUGCUGUAUAUAAUCUGUGGCGAUUCUGGUCGUUACUAAUCACACCUGAUAUAGAGAUUAAAAAAAAGAUGGAUAAGAGAUGGAGUCUUCAAGGUAUGAAUGCUCUUGUAACCGGUGGAGCCAGCGGAAUCGGGUAUGCCAUAGUAGAAGAGUUAGUUAGCUUUGGGGCCAAAGUCCAUGUAUGCGACAUAUCUGAAACUUUGCUCAAUCAAAGUUUAAGUGAAUGGGAAAAGAAAGGGUUUCAAGUGAGUGGCUCAGUCUGUGAUGUAACCUCUCGUCCCGAGAGAGAAACACUCAUGCAAACUGUCUCCUCGCUGUUUGAUAGCAAACUCAACAUUUUCGUGAACAAUGUGGGUGUACUUCGGGGAAAGCCAACAACAGAAUAUACGGCUGCAGAUUUCUCGUUUCAUAUCUCCAUAAACUUGGAGUCUGCUUAUCAUCUUAGCCAGCUUUCACAUCCUCUCCUAAAGGCUUCAGGCUAUGGAAGCAUCGUCUACAUGUCCUCUGUUGCAGGAGUUGUAUCCAUGAGCGGCGGAUCCAUUUACAGUCUAACCAAAGGAGCUUUAAAUCAGCUAGCUAGAAAUUUGGCAUGUGAAUGGGCAAAAGACGGCAUACGAGCCAACGCUGUUGCACCUAAUAUCAUCAAGACCCCGUUGGCCCAACCUUAUCUUGAGGACGUCGGGUUCAGGGAAGAACUGUUCGGUAGAACUCCACUUGGUCGAGCUGGAGAGCCGAAUGAAGUUGCAUCACUAGUGGUCUUCUUGUGUCUUCCUGCAGCUUCUUAUAUUACUGGUCAGACCAUUUGUGUUGAUGGAGGCCUCACGGUUAACGGUUUCUCCUAUCAACCACAAGCUUGAGAGAAAGAUGGUGUACGAAGAGGCCGGGGAAACCAACUUGGAUGAUUGAAGCCAAAGUCAUACACACAUAGAAACCAUCACAUUAUAACUUUGGGGAUCAGAGUUCAUGCUACUUAUAGGAAGAACUAUUUGAGAUCUUUGGGGGAUCAGUGCAUUCUUUAAGCCCUGUGAUUUCCAGAAUGAUGACAUGUUUCUAUCCUUACCAGAAUUUGAUUCUGUUUUGAGUGGAAGAUUAGAGAAUGGCUUUUUAAUUGACAUCGUUGGACAAGCCAUAGAUGUUGGGGAGCUUUGAAUUUCUUCAAUCUAUGGAAAUGAGUUAAAAAUAAUCAGAGUUCACCUUAAGAAACAUCAGGUAGCUAAUUCUAAUCUCAUAAAUUCAUCCGUGAAUUUUCCUAUUAUUUUGUUCAGUUAAAGACUCUCGCAGUAUAAGACUAAAAAGUUGACAUAAAUUCACAGUGAUGAGAGCGUAGUGUUGUUUGUGCACUUGCUAAAAUCGGUUCAUUUAGAGGUAUGAUUUAUAUAUAUACAUUUAUUUUUUUAUUUUUUUUUAUUUAACUGUGAUUUCUAAUUGUUACUAAUUUCUUUGGUAAUCUCCAAAUAUCAAAUGCUUA